GAAAGUUCCUGUGUUUGAGUAUUAUGGAGAUCACGAGAAGGCAUACCGAACUGGAGCCAACAUCUCUCCGGAGAAGCUGAUGAGGGGAGAGGCCUCACUGCACCUGCCAGCCAUUCAGCUCAGUGAUGCUGGAGAGUACUUCUGUAAGGUGGUGGUCACCCCUGAGAUGGAUGAGAAAAGUGUGCAGAGUGGGAUGGAUGUUAGAGGCUGGUCUGGGGACCCACCGUGGGCUAGAGAGCUGGGCUUUGGUGGGUGGUGAGAUGACUCUGGGCAAGGUGUGAAGCCUCUGAAUCUCGGUGCCCUUGCUAGAAACAAAUGUGAUGGCAUCU